rnacentral:lncRNA from 1 species
CAGGAUCUGAACCUCGAACCCUAGGCUGCCGAAGCAGAGCAUGCGAACUUAACCACUAUGCCACCGGGCCAGCCCCCUCAGGUAUCUGACUUUUUUAAUAGCUUCCUGGUCAUUCUCUUGAGCAUCCUGGAUGAGAAGCACUAACUGAGAAAUGGCCGGUCCGUUAGGGGUGGCCACACCUGGGGGUAGGAGCAAUUUCAACAUGAAAUUUCAUGAGGCACAGUGAAUGACAGCACAGAAGGGAAAUACGCCUUCUCUACCUUCAAGACUAAGCGCAGAUGGGAAAGGAAGAAAUCACAGAGAUUAGCAAACAGAAGCUUUGGCCCUCGGGGAAGGCAAUCUGGCAUUUUCCCAGGAGCCUAUGAAAUAACCUGAGCUUUGCACAGAUUUGCAAGAAAGGGAAGGAGCAGCCGUGGUCUUCUGAUGCUGAAACUUCCCCACAAAGCUGAGGCAUCACUGGAGUGCUCUACCGAGAGAGGCCGUGACUUCCGAGCAGCGUGUGCAACAGGCCGCUGUCUGGGGCAGUCUGCACCCUCCUCUCUGCUCUCUCACUUGGUCCUUGCUGUUAGGAAGCUCCAUCACUCUUUCCCCAGUCUCCAGUUUGCUCAUCUGGGCCAGCCCUCUGUAAUCUCUACCCUGUAAAGUCUACGGUGAGCUUUGUCGCACAUGCCAGGUCCUUGGCUCCCCUCGUAUACCAGUCAAAGGAUCCUUAAACUCAAGCGCAUUUCUUUUGAGGCAACAUUUUAUAAUUCUCAGACUGAGAAAGCAAAACCAUACCCCAGGGUCCAGAGAGAGGCAAUUUGAGAGCUGGCUCAUUCUUUUUUCUUUGUUUAGGAAAGCUAGCUUGUCUGGCUGACUUUCCGUCUCAGCACUUUCUUUCUCAUAAUCUGCCAAGUGCAGGACAUUGUAGGAUUGCAGGCUCUGGAUCCUCGGUCCUGGGCUCGGGCUUGGAUGCUGUGACCCCCCAAACUGCACGUUCGAUUUUACAUCCUCUGCACUCUUCUGUUAUUCAGUCAUGACACAAAAGGAAAAUUAAAUGCCUGUUUCAUACUUACUGAGUUGGGUAAGGCAGUCAAUCUCUCCUCAGAAACACCCCUUAAAGCGUACAGCUAGACUCUAGGAAAUUUGCCACCUGGCUGCCAGACAGAACUGUUCACCGGGCUCUUCAUGUGAUCCUAAGUGCCUUGUCCACUAAAUGCCCCUUGGGACCUCCUUUGAUGGUACAUAAAAUAUACAUGGAAUUCAUUUACAUGGAAUCUGCCUGGUGCUGCUAGAAACCCAGGAUGUCUGACUUCCUUACUGCUUAGAUGCUUUUUUGCCUGUCUCACUGAGAUGAGCAAUGUGACCCAUUACCUCUGGGAGGGUAAUGCUUGGUCUGGUUAUCUUGUUACAAGAUCUAAGUUUAUUUUACCUUUAUAAAAACUAGAACCACAUAUUGUAUGAUUCCAUUGAUAAGAAAUGUCCAGAAUAGGUAAACUCAUUGAGUCAGAAGGUAGAUUAGUGGUUGCCUAGGGUCUGGGGAGUUUGGGGGGAAAAUUGGAGUGGCUGUUUGUGGGUAUGGGGUUUCUUUUAGGGGUGAUGAAAUGUUCUGAAGUUGUUUGUGGUGAUGGUUGCAUGACUGUGAAUAUACUAAAAACCAUUGAGUCAUACACUUUAACUGGGUGAAUUGUAUGGAAUGUAAAUUAUAUCUCAAUAAAGCUGCUAUUUGAAAAAACAAAAGUCAGGGAAAGCACAGGCAACAAUGAGGAGGGUGUGUACGUGAAUUUGUUCCAGGAAAGGAGCCCAACCACCUCCUAUCCCUGAAGGAGAAGAGUCUGGUCUCUUAGCCCAGCUACUCUUACUGUAUACACAGUUUCUAUUUUGGGCCUUUUUAUAGUUUUGUUAUAGUUUGUGAGCAACAGUUAAGUCAAAAACCACAGUGAGGCCUUGGUUACAGUUUAUCCUUGUUUUCGGUCAACAAUAAACAUGACUAAUGUCACCAGGGCUGAAGUCAACCACACACGUGGAUUCAGGAAGUUUGGGACAUGUGCUGGGCACUAGUGGAGCCGGCCAGCGGAGAUUUGGCUCCUUGGAGAGACAGUGGUUGGCUAAAC